rnacentral:lncRNA from 1 species
AUGUACUUUCAUCCAUAAGUGGUGAAGAUUUAUCUACUCAAAACACUAGAUCAAAUUCAGCACAUCUUAAUGUGAUGAAUAUUUUUUUUUCUAUUUCAAAAAAUUUGAUCCAUUAAGAAAAAAAUUUUCUAUGCUAGUAUCAACAAUUAUGAGAAUUAAUGCUGCAAAUAAUAUAUACUCACAUUACAACUAAAUAAUA